rnacentral:rRNA from 1 species
AUACCCUAGUAUAAUAAUAAUUAACAAUUAGUAUAGUUGAAAAUUAAUAAUUUUGGCGGUUAAUUUUUUUUUAGAGGAGCUUGUAAAUAAUAGAAUUAGCUCUUUAGAUUUUAGUACUAAUAUAAUUUAUUCAUCUCCGUUAUCAAGGAUAAUUUAAUAAGUAUUUUUAGUAUAUCAGGUCAAGAUGUAGUUUUUAUUAAGAAUAUUAUUAGCUACAAUUAUGAAAUGAAUGGGAUUUUUUAAUUAAUGAAUGGAUUAGAUUUGAAUUUGAAUUUAAUUGUAAUAUUAAUUAGAAAGUUACUAUGAAUUAAAUAAAUUAAUGUACAGAUUGCCCGUCACUUCUACUAAAAUAGAAUAAGUCGUAACAA